rnacentral:rRNA from 1 species
CCUACGGGAGGCAGCAGUGGGGAAUAUUGCACAAUGGGCGCAAGCCUGAUGCAGCCAUGCCGCGUGUGUGAAGAAGGCCUUCGGGUUGUAAAGCACUUUCAGCGGGGAGGAAGGCGUUAAGGUUAAUAACCUUGGCGAUUGACGUUACCCGCAGAUGAAGCACCGGCUAACUCCGUGCCAGCAGCCGCGGUAAUACGGAGGGUGCAAGCGUUAAUCGGAAUUACUGGGCGUAAAGCGCACGCAGGCGGUCUGUCAAGUCGGAUGUGAAAUCCCCGGGCUCAACCUGGGAACUGCAUUCGAAACUGGCAGGCUAGAGUCUUGUAGAGGGGGGUAGAAUUCCAGGUGUAGCGGUGAAAUGCGUAGAGAUCUGGAGGAAUACCGGUGGCGAAGGCGGCCCCCUGGACAAAGACUGACGCUCAGGUGCGAAAGCGUGGGGAGCAAACAGGAUUAGAUACCCGUGUAGUC